GCCUUCGUGAUGUAACAGUAGCAGACUAGGUUCGUAUCCGAGAGGUCCAGGUUCGAAUCUCGGCGAGGGCA
rnacentral:tRNA from 1 species